AAUCAGGCCCGGAUUGGCAAAUCGGGAGGACCAGGAGAAUUCCCAGUGGGCCGGUCCUCCCGAUUUGCCAAUCCGGGCCUUAUU
rnacentral:pre_miRNA from 1 species